rnacentral:rRNA from 1 species
UACGUAGGGUGCGAGCGUUGUCCGGAAUUACUGGGCGUAAAGGGCGCGUAGGCGGCCUUCUAAGUCGAACGUGAAAUCCCUGGGCUCAACCCAGGAACUGCGUCCGAUACUGGAAGGCUUGAAUCCGGGAGAGGGAUGCGGAAUUCCAGGUGUAGCGGUGAAAUGCGUAGAUAUCUGGAGGAACACCGGUGGCGAAGGCGGCAUCCUGGACCGGUAUUGACGCUGAGGCGCGAAAGCCAGGGGAGCAAACGGG